rnacentral:rRNA from 1 species
GACGAACGCUGGCGGCGUGCUUAACACAUGCAAGUCGAACGAAGUGGCGAACGGGUGAGUAACGCGUAUACAACCUGCCCUUCAGAGGGGGACAACAGUUGGAAACGACUGCUAAUACCGCAUACUUAUGGAGGGGAUAGCGGCGGAUUAGCUAGUUGGCGGGGUAACGGCCCACCAAGGCGAUGAUCAGUAGGCGGGCUGAGAGGAUGAACGGCCACAUUGGGACUGGUACACGGCCCAGACUCCUACGGGAGGCAGCAGUGGGGAAUCUUCCGCAAUGGACGAAAGUCUGACGGAGCAACGCCGCGUGAGUGAUGACGGCCUUCGGGUUGUAAAGCUCUGUUAAUCGGGACGCGGUACCGGAAUAGAAAGCAACGGCUAACUACGUGCCAGCAGCCGCGGUAAUUC